UACGGGGGGAGCAAGCGUUGUUCGGAUUUACUGGGCGUAAAGGGCGCGUAGGCGGUCGUGACAAGUCACUUGUGAAAUCUCCGGGCUUAACUCGGAACGGUCAAGUGAUACUGUCGGACUAGAGUACAGAAGGGGCAACUGGAAUUCUCGGUGUAGCGGUGAAAUGCGUAGAUAUCGAGAGGAACACCUGCGGCGAAGGCGGGUUGCUGGGCUGACACUGACGCUGAGGCGCGAAAGCUAGGGGAGCAAACGGG
rnacentral:rRNA from 1 species